CAGAUAUCCCCAGGAAACAGGGGAGCAAGGUGUGCAGAGGAUGGCAUCUGAAAUUCCAAAGAGCAGGCUGCUUGUAGGAGGAAAUAGAGGCAAGGUCAGAAAGCUGAUGCUGAGGAUGACAGCUUCCAAGGUGUUUCCAAGUGAGAACAUCAAUUGCUGCUGCAGGGCCCAAUGGAAGAGAAGCCUGGUGUGACUGAAGGAGCUGUGAAUCCAAGAGGCUUCGCUUGUGUGCUGAAGAUGAACAACUACUGAUAAAGAACACUGCAUCAAAAGGACGAUUGAAGUGUUUUGGUUUGGUUUGGUUGGAAGACUGUACUAGCUUGCCAGAGGGAAUUCAGAGAAAACCAGAAUACUUUCCCAAAGAGAAGGUAA